GAGAAGAUUAGGAAAGCAACUACUAUAUAGUGCCACUACCUUGAUCUUCCAAAGACUAAUGGCCAUUAAGCUGAUCUCCAAACUAGCAGGAGCAAUCUGGAUGGAUGGCAGGAACCUCAAGACCUCCAUUUCCGGGAAGACUGGCUCAACCCCGACCACCAGAAGCCCAAUGCCAUUCCAGGUUCUGUCGGUUGGCGAACCCGUCACUGUGAAUGAGCUAGAGAUGGACUUCCAGAGAUUCUUUGGCUCCCAGCGGUCAGGACCGGAGGCCCCGACACUGAACUGGAUGGAUGGCACCGUGCUGAAGUCAGACCAGGAGACAAAUCCCUGUCUCUCCUUCCUCACAGCACAGGCCAGAACCAGAUCAAAUCCAAUGACCAACAAUGAGGACUUUUAUCCUCUCCCCAAACCAUCUACAUUCACAAGAUGUGGCUUCCACAGAUUUCCCCGAAAAGCCUCUGUCCAAGGCACUCCCUUUUGUCACCCUCCCUCUCACCCUCUACUCCAACCAACCACCCACCCACCUUGCAGUCUUUUGAUAUAUGGGGCCUCAUAUCCAAAGGACAAGCAGUGGCCUUCACUACCUUAGUAAAUGGGCACUGCUACACCAUGGCCCAAUAUUGAGGGUGGUGGAAUCCACUUAUCUGAACUCUGCUAGUUGCACUGCUGGGCAUAUCCUAGAAUUUCUACCGGAUUUCGACCGGCCCUUUGACCGUCCUGGAUAGAAGGAGUAGUGGGGUGUUUCAGUUUAACCGAAAUGAGGGCAAAUAGUGUUAGUGGCCUUUGCCCAGUCCAUGACAAGGUAGGAAAGAAGGCCGGUUCUAGUAAGGUGCCGAGAUCUCCUGCUGCUGUAGCAGCGGUUAGGGAGUGCUAUCCUUGAUGGAGACCUGAGACAGGCAGCAUAGCAGGAAGAGAUAUCGAGCUGCCAUUCCCUUCCCCUUGUCUUCUCAGAUGGGACCCCUGUUCUCAGGUCCAUUUUAGCCUAUUCUCCCCCACCCCACGUGCUCUCGAUUCGAAGAUGGUCAGAGCUCCGUCCGAACCACCUCGGGUGCUUGCUUUCUCUCCCCUAUCCCCUGUGUUCACCCUGGUGGGGCCGUGAGGACCAGAGCUGCGCCCCCCUGCAACUGAGAGUACUGUGGGACUGUGACCUUGGCCCCUCGCCUUUCUCCAGCACUCAAGGCCCAUGGCUGAUGCAACCAAUGGAUAUUCCUAGUAACCGCUGGAAGGACAGGUCCAACCUCUUUAAUAAUUUUCAUCCCUUUCUCACCUUUCAUACCUUUUCUCUUUCUCCAUGCCUACCCUGACACUUGCGACUUCAAGAUCUACAAAAAUGUGACUAACUAUCUUUCUACUGCACCCUCCUACUCAACUCCUCAACUCCAUUGAUCUACUGCUCCUCCACCCAACCUCAUUCACUCACCAACCUGGACACGCCCGCUCCUGAACACGCCCGCUCACAUGGCUUCCACUACCUCCUCUAUGCCAAUGAUAUCUAAACCUAUAUGGCCAGCCCUCAUCUCUCCUUCUCUCUACAGUCUCGUAUUUCUUUCUUCCUUCUAGAAAUCCCUACUUGAAUGUCCUCCCAUCACCUUAAACCUAACAUGUCUAAAGCAGAACUUCCCACCCAAACCCUGUCCUACCCCUGAUUUCUCCUCACUGUAGACAGCAUCACCUUCCUUCCUGUGUCACAAACCCAAAACCUUGGCAUUAUCAUUGAGUCCUCUCUCUCAUUCACCCUACAUAUUCAAUCCAUUACUAAAUCCUUCGGGUCCACCUUCUCAUAUCUGCCCAUUCCUCUCCUUCCAAAACACUAUCACGUUAGUACAAUCAUUUAUCCUCUCCCGCCUGGAUUAUUGUAACAGCCUCCCUGCUCAUCUCCCAGCCUCUUGGCUCUCCAGUUCAUACUUCACACUGCUGCCCGCAUCAUUUUUUACAAAAACGUUCAGACCAUGCUUUCCUUCUCCUCAAGAACCUUCAGUGGUUGCCCAUCCAUCUCUGCAUCAAACUCAAUCUCCUCGAAAUUAACUUUAAAAAGCAUUCAGUCGCCUCGCCCCCUCCUACCUCACCUCGUGAAGCAGUGUGGCUCAGUG
rnacentral:lncRNA from 1 species